AAUUCAUGUUAUGAGACAUCGGUUUCAGACAAACCACUUGCACAGCCAUCAUGGUGACAGCUACAGGCAACGUGGUAACCUGCAGAUUGCUCACAGAGUGAAGCGAGGCCAGUAAUGAAGUUCAGCCAUCAGAGAGAUAAAACCCUAAUUUAUGGCAGUUACUGAAUCAUAGAAUCAAGGAAUGGUUGAGGCUGGAAGAGAACUCUGAAGGUCUUGUGGUCCAGCCCCUCUGCUCAAGUAGUGUCCCGCAGAGUACGUUACACAGGAUUGUGUCCAUACAAUCUUUUAGAUAUCUCCAUGGAAGGAGACUCCAG
rnacentral:lncRNA from 1 species